rnacentral:rRNA from 1 species
CCUACGGGAGGCAGCAGUGAGGAAUAUUGGUCAAUGGCCGGAAGGCUGAACCAGCCAUGCCGCGUGAAGGUCAGUGCCCUAUGGGCGUUAAACUUCUUUUGUGCGGGAGCAAUAAUGGUCACGUGUGGCCAGACGAGAGUACCGUACGAAUAAGCAUCGGCUAACGCCGUGCCAGCAGCCGCGGUAAUACGGGGGAUGCAAGCGUUUUCCGGAUUUAUUGGGUUUAAAGGGUGCGUAGGCUGUGAGGUAAGUCAGCGGUGAAAUGCCCCCGCUCAACGGGGUGAAGUGCCAUUGAUACUGGCUGGCUGGAAUGCGGAUGCCGUAGGAGGAAUGCGUGGUGUAGCGGUGAAAUGCAUAGAUAUCACACAGAACACCGAUUGCGAAGGCAGCUCACGAAUCCGCGAUUGACGCUGAUGCACGAAAGCGUGGGUAUCAAACAGGAUUAGAUACCCUUGUAGUC